rnacentral:misc_RNA from 1 species
ACUCCUACCAUUGUAGUCCUGUGGUCUGUCCUUCUGGCGUCAAUUUUCUCACUGGUUUGGGUCAGAAUUGAUCCUUUCUUGCCCAAGCAAACUGGCCCUAUUCUUAAACAAUGUGGGGUGGAGUGCUAGUGGUCCUUUCAUUUAUUGUUUUUUUGUUUUCACUUGUUUCUGGAAAAAAAUUCAAGUUGUUAAAAAGAGUGAUCAAUAUUCUGUAGUUGUCCGCCUGGCUUUGGUCCAGUGGCAAGGGCACAAUGAACCUGGGCCAUGUCCACGGUUCAAUCCCCCUCCCCCCAUGUACCUAUC